rnacentral:rRNA from 1 species
GACGUAGGGGGCGAGCGUUGUUCGGAAUCACUGGGCAUAAAGCGCACGUAGGCGGCCAUAUAAGUCGGGUGUGAAAGCCCUCGGCUCAACCGAGGAACUGCGCCCGAUACUGCAUGGCUUGAGGUCCGGAGGGGAGAGUGGAAUUCCCGGUGGAGCGGUGAAAUGCGUAGAGAUCGGGAAGAACGCCGGCGGCGAAAGCGACUCUCUGGUCGGAAUCUGACGCUGAGGUGCGAAAGCUAGGGGAGCAAACGGG